CUUUCAUGGAGAGUUUGAUCCUGGCUCAGGACGAACGCUGGCGGCGUGCCUAAUACAUGCAAGUCGAGCGAAUCAAUAGGAG
rnacentral:rRNA from 1 species